rnacentral:rRNA from 1 species
UACGUAGGGGGCGAGCGUUGUCCGGAGUUACUGGGCGUAAAGCGCACGCAGGCGGUCAGCUAAGUGUGGGGUGACAGGUCACGGCUUAACCGUGGCAGUGCCGUGCAGACUGGCUGACUUGAGGGCCAAAGAGGGACAGGGAACUCCAGGUGUAGUGGUGAAAUGCGUAGAUAUCUGGAAGAACACCAAUGGCGAAGGCACUGUCCUGGGAGGUUUCUGACGCUGAGGUGCGAAAGCUAGGGGAGCGAACGGG